CUGGCGCGUGGUCUUGCAUUUCCUACUUGGUCCUGUUCGUGGCGCCGCGCCUCCGGGUGUUGGGGAGUCCGGGAUGAUGGGGAAUCCGGGGCUCGCCCUAGUCGCGGGGACACCGCCUUCCAGGAGCUGUCCCCAGGCAAACUCACAGACAUCUUCAAAGAGCCUUCUUGGACAUUCUGCUUUUUGCUCCUCAUAACAGGCUUCGAUGGAGUUUCUCUCUUAUUUUCCAGGCUGCAGUACAGUGGCGUGAUCUCGGCUCACUGCAACCUCCACCUCCCAGGUUCAAGCGAUUCUCCUGUCUUAGCCUCACGAGUAGCCGGGAUUACAGGCACAUGCCCCCAUUCCCAGCUAAUUUUUGUAUUUUUAGUAGUGACGGGGUUUCAUCAUAUUGGUCAGGCUGGUCUCAAACUCCUGACCUCAGGUGAUCCGCCUCGGCCUCCCAAAGUGUUGGGAUUACAGGCGUGAGCCACCCACUGUAUCUCUUGUUCGGAGGAAUAUCUAAUCAAGAAAAUCAUUUUUACUGUUUUUAUUUUUUGGUUUGUUCGUUUUUUUCCUGUGAGAUGGAGUUUCACUCUUGUUGCCCAUCCUGGUGUACAAUGGCGCGAUCUCGGCUCACUUCAACCUCCGCCUCCCAGUGCGUCCGGAAUUGGUGGGUUCUUGGUCUCACUGACUUCAAGAAUGAAGCUGCGCACCCUCACGCUGCACCCUUCUGGUUACCGCUAGAACUGAGCUUUCGCUCGCCGUCCACCACUGCUGUUUUGCUGCCGUCGCAGACCCGCCGCUGACUUCCAUCCCUCCAAUCCAGCAGGGCGCCCGCUGUGCUCCUGAUCCAGGGAAGCACCCGUUGCCACUCCUGAUCGCGCUAAAGGCUUGCCAUUGUUCCUGCAUGGCUAAGUGCCUGGUUUCGUCCUAAUCAAGCUGAACACUAGUCACUGGGUUCCACGGUUCUCUUCCGUGACCCACGACUUCUAAUAGAGCUAUAACACUCACCGCACGGCCCAAGAUUCCAUUCCUUGGAAUCCGUGAGGCCAAGAACCCCAGGUCAGAGAACACGAGGCUUGCCACCAUCUUGGAAGUGGCCUGCCGCCAUUUUGGAAGUGGCCCACCACCAUCUUGGGAGCUCUGGGAGCAAGGACCCCUGGCAUCUGGAUAUUAAGACUGUCUCCAGCCCUUUGAGGUUGAGAGAGGAAGCAAGCACGGAGGAAUGGAUUUGACAACCCACAUGUCCGUGACUCAAAGCAAGCAAGGCCUUGCACAACCAACUCGCCACCCACACAAUCUGCACAGUCUCAGUGAGAAAGCAGGAGCAGGGAGCUCUCCGCUGAGAGUGAAGAAAUGUCCUCAACUCGACUUCUCUGCAGUGUGCAUGUGUGUGAAACACAGACACACACGGGAGGAAUUUGGCUCUGUCAUUUUAGUGUACCAAAGAAAAAAAAACAGGGAGAAAUCACUUGUUUGAAGCCCUAAAUGACAUAAGGAAGAUUUUCCCAGAUCUAAAUAAUGAUCCCUAAGGUCAGGUGCUGUGUAUGGUAUGGAUUUGGAAACUUCAUAAUGUCUCUGACCACCACUCCAGGACACUGCAGACAGGUGUGCAUUUACUCAGCAUCCAGUAAACACCUGCAAGGUGCAGAGUACUACACUAGGCACAGGGAACAGAGCUACUGACUGACUGCCAGAGUUUCGAAGAAUACAGAUAAGUCAACUAUUAAAGCUAGGAAACAGACCGGAUGCGGUGGCUCACGCCUGUAAUCCCAGCACUUUGGAAGACCGAGGCGGGUGGAUCAACUGAGGUCAAGAGUUCAAGACCAGCCUGCCAACAUGGUGAAACUCCGUCCCUAUUAAUAAUACAAAAAAAUUAGCUGGGCAUGGUGGCACAUGCCUGUAAUCCCAGCUAUUCGGGAGGCUGAGGCAGGAGAAUUGCUUGAACCCAGGAGGCUGCAGUGAGCUGAGAUCGCGCCAUUGCACUCCAGCCUGGGCAACAAGAGCGAAACUCUGCCUCCAAUAAAUAAAUAAAUAAAAUAAAAUAAAAUAAAAUAAAGCCAUAAAACAGUAAAGCCAGUCGUUUUUGCCUCAAAUACUCCUCCAAUUCAUCACCUCCUCUCUAUCUCCAUGGCCACCAUCAUCUCUCCCUGGAAAUGCUGCGAGAUCCCUCUAACUAGACUUUCCACAAUUAACUUCCACAUGACCACCAAAGGCAUGCCAUUCUCCUGCUUACACCCUUCCUGGGUGUUAUGGAUUGAAUUAUGGCCCCCGAAGUCAUAUGUUGAAGCCAUAACACCCCUCAAUGUGACUACAUGGAGAGAGGUCCUUUAAGGAGGUAGUUAAGGUUAAAUAAGGUCAUCAGAUGGGGCCCUAAUCCAAUAGGACUUGUGUAUUUUAUUUUUAUUAUUUUUUAGACUCAGUUUCGCUCUGUUGCCCAGGCUAGAGUGCAGUGGCAU
rnacentral:lncRNA from 1 species